CCCCAACUGACAGUCUGGAGUUGAGAAGUGAAGCCUGAAGGGGGCAGAUCUGAUCUCUCCUGGAGUCCCUUGGACAUCUUGGAAACAGCCUCUUUGAAUAUCAUCAAGCAAGAGUGAGCAGGAGUUUCCAGCAAUACCCUCUGGUGGACAGAGAGGAAAAUUGGAGGAAAUCAGUCUAUCUUUUGGACUUCUGAGGACUCAGCUGGAUUCCUGUACCUGACUCAUCAAAGGACUCUCUGAGUAUUUCACAAAACCCAAAGUGGGGGAAUAGAAUAAUUUAACCUGAAAAGUAAAAGAGCUCAAGAUGUGACCCAAAGUGACAUACUCUGAAAAUAUGAACAUAAUCAUCAAUGAAAGAAGAUGGACAUUCAAUAAAAGAGAGAUUUGGGCAUAAUCCUUUUUUUAAGAGGAGAUUGAGUUCAGUGGAGGACUGGAAUCCAGCUUGGAGAAGGUCUCUUGGCGAGAAUUCAGUGUGGUUACAAAGCACUCUGGGGAAGUGGAGUAAGAGCUUGUGGGGAUUGAAGUCCAGAGUUCGAGUCUAUUUUUAUAAAAGUCAAAAUGGAUACAUGAUUUAUAAAUCAAGAAGGAUAUUGUACACAAAUUAAAAGAGCACAAAAUAGUAUCCUUUUCAGACAUAUGGAUAAGGGAAAAAUGUAUAAUUAAAUAAGACAUGGAGAACAUUAUGAGAUAUAAACUAGACAAUUUAGGAGGCAGCUCGAUUGGUCAAUGAAUUGAGGUCCAGGUCUAGAAACAGGAGGUCCUAUGUUCAAAUCUAGAUUUAGACACUUCCUAAUUGUGUGACCCUGAGCAAGUCACUUAACUCCCAUUACCUAGCCCUUGCCAUUCUUCUGCCUUGAAAGUAAUACAAAUAAGAAGGGAAACAACAAACUGGGAAAAUCUUUAUAACAAGUGUCUCUGACAAAGGUCUUGUUUCUCAAACAUAUAAAACUGAG
rnacentral:lncRNA from 1 species